rnacentral:rRNA from 1 species
AGUGAACGCUGGCGGUAGGCCUAACACAUGCAAGUCGAACGGCAGCACAGUAAGAGCUUGCUCUUACGGGUGGCGAGUGGCGGACGGGUGAGGAAUACAUCGGAAUCUACUUUUUCGUGGGGGAUCACGUAGGGAAACUUACGCUCAUACCGCAUACGACCUACGGGUGAAAGCAGGGGAUCUUCGGACCUUGCGCGAUUGAAUUAGCCGAUGUCGGAUUAGCUAGUUGGCGGGGUAAAGGCCCACCAAGGCGACGAUCCGUAGCUGGUCUGAGAGGAUGAUCGGCCACACGGGAACUGGGACACGGUCCAGACUCCUAAGGGAGGCAGCAGUGGGGAAUAUUGGACAAUGGGCGCAAGCCUGAUCCAGCCAUACCGCGUGGGUGAAGAAGGCCUUCGGGUUGUAAAGCCCUUUUGUUGGGAAAGAAAAGCAGCAGGUUAAUACCCCGCUGUUCUGACGGUACCCAAAGAAUAAGCACCGGCUAACUUCGUG